UCUCUUCACACAACCACGGAUCUGUGCCCAGCGCUCCUCUGCCGUCCUCGGGUGGCUAGGGUCGAGAGCUGAGGCAGUUCGGCGAUAAAAAGGAGCCAUCACUAUACCCCAUGGUGUCAAUCAUCCUCCCGACAGAUCCCAGAGCAACCGAACCUUGGGGAGCCUCGUUCGCUGGAAACAGCUUGAGCUUGGUGAACCAGGUCCGAGACGCUAUAUUCCAAGUCGUUAGCCGAGACCGUCGGUCUAUGGGGCUGGGAAAAACCAUAGCUGCCUACAUUU
rnacentral:sRNA from 1 species